rnacentral:rRNA from 1 species
GAUCAUGGCUCAGAGUGAACGCUGGCGGCGUGCUUAACACAUGCAAGUCGAACGAGAACGGAUUAUAGCUUGCUAUAAUUGUCAGCUAAGUGGCGCACGGGUGAGUAAUGUAUAGGUAAUAUGCCUCUUACUAAGGGAUAACAAAUGGAAACGUUUGCUAAUACCUUAUACUCCUUAUUAACAGAAGUUAAUAAGGGAAAGAUUUAUUGGUAAGAGAUUAGCCUGUAUUGUAUCAGUUAGUUGGUGGGGUAAUGGCUUACCAAGACUAUGACACAUAACUGGUUUGAGAGGAUGAUCAGUCACACUGGAACUGAGACACGGUCCAGACUCCUACGGGAGGCAGCAGUGGGGAAUAUUGCACAAUGGACGAAAGUCUGAUGCAGCAACGCCGCGUGGAGGAUGACACAUUUCGGUGCGUAAACUCCUUUUAUAUGAGAAGAUAAUGACGGUAUUAUAUGAAUAAGCACCGGCUAACUCCGUG